GAUGAACGCUAGCGACAGGCCUAACACAUGCAAGUCGAGGGGCAGCGAGGGAGUAGUAAUACUUUUGUCGGCGACCGGCGCACGGGUGCGUAACACGUAUGCAAUCUACCUGUAAGCGGGGGAUAGCCUUCUGAAAAGGAGAUUAACACCGCAUAGCACUGUUUUUUCGCAUGGGAGAGCAGUAAAACGAGAGGCUUACAGAUGAGCAUGCGCAUGAUUAGCUAGUUGGCGGGGUAACGGCCCACCAAGGCAGCGAUCAUUAGGGGUUCUGAGAGGAAGGUCCCCCACACUGGUACUGAGACACGGACCAGACUCCUACGGGAGGCAGCAGUGAGGAAUAUUGGUCAAUGGGCGAGAGCCUGAACCAGCCAAGUCGCGUGCAGGAUGACAGCCCUAUGGGUUGUAAACUGCUUUUGUACAGGAAUAACGGACUUUACGUGUAGAGUUAUGCAUGUACUGUACGAAUAAGGAUCGGCUAACUCCGUGCCAGCAGCCGCGGUAACAC
rnacentral:rRNA from 1 species